rnacentral:lncRNA from 1 species
AGCAAGGCAAGUGGUUUAUACCCAGGAGAUGGGAAAGACGCCUAGAUUGCGUAUUAGGACUGAGUCUGUACCCACCUCAGGGGCGUGGGAAUGAGACUGUACCCACCUCGGGGGCUUGGGAAUGGGACUUAGCCUACCUCAGGUGAUCAGGGGCAAAGGUUUUAACUCAACUCAGAGUUUGCUUGGAGAGGAGAGCUCACACAAGACCACGUUGGGAAAUGUUUCCACAAUCAUCGAUUAAGCACUAUGAGGUCCCUGCAUCUUCCUAGAACCAAGAGUUUCCUGCUAUAAGGAAAACAUCGCCCUGGUCUGUAUGAUGCUGGUUAUGCAGACAUGCAGAGUCCACAUGUUACUACAUCAUGGAGGUCCACCCAGACUAGAAGGCUGGACAGACUUGCAAUGCCAGCGGGCAGUCCCUGAGAGGCUUGUGUGCAAAGAUGUGAGGGUAGUGGAGACCUCAGGAACCAUCUGCCAAGUAAAGGUCUGGGCAGUGCGCACACACCAGCCUUAGAGAGAACCCUGUGGGCUGCAAACCGCAAGGCCAUCGAUGUGGGUCUACCUAAGCCCUCUGAGUCUCACACCACACCGUGCACCUAGAUGCCAGACACAGAGCUGCAAGAUGUGAUGUUUCUCUGCUGGGUUUUGGCCUGCCUUAACCCCAGUCUUCUAUACCCCGCUCCUCUCUUUUAGAGUGGGAAUGCUUACUCUGGACUUGCAUCUGGAAGUGUGGAACUUGCUGUUUAAUUUUAUGAGGUUCACAGCUUAACCUUGAGUCUCAGAAGAGGCUGAAUUUGGACUUCUCAUCUGUGCCAGAACAGUUAAGACAUUUAACAUUUAACAGUUAAGGCAUUUAAGAUGCACUAAAUGAAUGGUUCUCAACCCGUGGGUCGCCACCCCUUGGGUCAAAGGACCCUUUUACGGGGAUCUCAUAUCUAUCAGAUAUUUACAUUACAAUUCAUAACAGUGAAAAAAAUCACAGUUAUGAAGUAGCAAUGAAAUAAUGUUAUGGUUGGGGGUCACCAUAACACCAUGAAGGGCCACAGCAUUAGGAAGGAGGAAAGCCACUGUACUAAAUGCAGCUUAGGUUAUACAGUGGAGAUGAGGGUUUGCAGGCUAAUGGUGGAGCAGUAUGGUUUGAAUAGGAAGCUUACACAUCUGGGCUUAAUUGCUGGCUAAUGGGAUUUGGUGAAGCUAUUAGGUCUGAGGGGGCUGACCUAAUCAAGGAGUUAAUUAAUCCAUGACAGAGUCAUGAUAUGUGCUCUUGCUGGAAUGUGGUCAAAAGUAGGUGGGGCAUAGCUGGAAGGAGGAGGUCACUAGGAUGUGCAGGAGACCUGUAUUAUGUCCUCUGUUUCUUCCUCAGGUCUUCCUGCUUCCUGUCUGCCACAGGUGAGCUGCCUUGCACACUAACUGCCAUGAUUCUUCUUUUUGUUUUGUUUUGUUUUUGUUUUUGUUUGUUUUGGUUUUUCGAGACAGGGUUUCUUUGUAUAGCCCUGGCUGUCCUGGAACUCACUUUGUAGACCAGGCUGGCCUCAAACUCAGAAAUCUGCCUGCCUCUGCCUCCUGAGUGCUGGGAUUAAAGGCGUGCGCCACCACGCCCGACCUAACUGCCAUGAUUCUUAGCUCAUCCUGGGUUGGAACCUCUGAAUCCAUGAGCCAAAAUAGUUCCCCCAUUUAAGUGCACCUCCCUCCAUCCCACAAGGACACUUACUCAACUAUGCUCACGGCAGCUUUAUUAGUAAUAGCCAGAAGCUGAAAACAACCCAGAUGUCCCUUGACUGAAGAAUGGAUAAAGAAAAUGUGGUUCAUUUAAACAAUGGGAUACUACUCCUCUAUUAAAAACAAUAUCAUGAAAUUUGCCAAAUGGAUGGAACUAGAAAAGAUCAUCCUGAGUGAGGAACCCGGACCCUGGAAGACAAACAUGGUAUAUACUCCCUUAUAAGUAAAGGAUAUUCAUACUAUAAUCCACAGAGCCAUAGAAGCUAACUGUAGUGGUUUGAAUAUGCUUGGCCCAGGAGGUGGCACUGUUAGGAGGUGUGGCCCUGUUGAACCUGUUGAAGUAGAUGUGGCCUUGUUGGAGGAAGUGUGUCAAUGUGGGGGUGGGCUUCAAGACCCUCCUCCUAGCUGCCUGGAAGAUAGUCUUCUCCCUGACUUCUGACCAAGAUGUAGAACUCUCAACUCCUUCUCCAGCACCAUGUCUGCCUGCACACUGCCAUACUGCCCGCCAUCAUGAUAAUGAACUGAACCUCUGAAACUGUAAGCCAGCCCCAAUUAAAUGUUGUCCUCUAUGAGAGUUGCCUUGGUCAUGAUAUCUCUUCUCAGCAAUGGAAACACUAAGACACUAAGUAACAAGGAGAGCUCAAGUGGUAUGCAUGGAUCUCCCUGGGAAGGGGAAAUAGAAUAGAUUUCACCAGUGGACUGAGGAUGGGGGUGGGAACAGGAGGGAAAAGAUUGGAGCGAGAGAGUACAGGGAGAGAUGAUUGGAGUUGGAGGGCAUUUGGGAAAUGAUGUAGAGACCUAGUGUAAUGGAAACUCCACGGAGUCUACAAGGGUAACCCUAGUGAAAAGUACUAACAAUGGGGACUAGAGAGUCUGAACUGACCAUCUUCUCUGAUCAGGCAACUAUGAGCCCAGGUUAGUUGGGCCACCCCAACUCCCCAAAGUCAAAGAAAUGAUUACUAUUGAUAUUCUGCUGUACUUGUAGAUGGGAGCCUACCCUAAUCCUCAUCAGGGAUACGAUCCAGCAACUGAUGGAAACAAAUGCAGAGACCCACAGCCAAACCUUAGGCAGAGCUGGAAGAUUCCUGCAGAAGAGGGGGAGGAAGGAUUGUAGGAGCCAGAGGGGUCAAGGACACCACAAGAAAACCCACAGAAUCAACUAAGCUGGGCUCAUAGGGUCUCUCAGAGACUGAAACAACAACCAUGGAGCCUGUAUGGCUCUGACCUAGGUCUUCUGCAUAUAUGUUACAGUCGUGUAGCUUGGUGUUCUUGUGGGAGUCUAACAGUGAGAGCGGGAGCUGAUUUCUUUUGCUUGCUUUUGGAACCCCUGUCCUCCUACUGGGUUGCCUUGUCCAGCCUUAAUAUGAGGGCAGUUGCCUAGUCUUACUGCAACUUGAUAUGGCAUGGCUGGUUGAUAACAUUAGGAGUUCUACCCUUUUCUGAAAGAAAAUGGGAGGAGUGGAUCUGGGGAGAAGGAGGGCCUAGAAGGAGCGGAGGGAGGGGAAACUGGUCAGAAUGUAAUGUAUGAGAGAAGAGGCAAGGGAGAAUAGGAGAUGUACCACAUCCCACAGAGAUUCAUGAGGCAACACUCAAGCAGAGAGCAUUACUGAGUCAUUGACAGAAGAAAAAGGCGAAGAUGGGGAAACCCGAUCAGGGCAGGUCUUGGGUAGUGUGGGGCUGUCCCCAGUUGACUCCAAGUAGCACUGACAAACUUAGGGCAGGAGGAUCCAGAAUGGAGAGCAGAUAAAUGUGGACCACAAAGGGGAAAACUGGGGUGCUCAGCCUGGGAUUGGUUGGUUUACGCAUGAAAAGUGAGCUGACAGCCACUGCUGGUGAAGUUUGACUUCACUGGGACCAGAGCAUCCCACCAGGAGGGGCAAACCCCCAGGGUCAGCGCAUCCCUCCAUACAGGAGGAAAAGCUGUGGUUGAAACAGUGUCCCUAAGUGGUCAAGUCAGUAGGAAACGACAUCUGAGAAAUUUUGUGUCUUAUUUGUUACUUCUUUUUGUUUGUUUUGUGUUUUGUUGUUAUUUUUUAAGCUUCAUUUGUUUUUGUUUGUUUGUCUGUUUUUUUUUUUAAGAUAGGGUUUCUCUGUAGCCCAGGCUGUCCCAGAGCUCUCUCUGUAGACCAGGCUGUCUUUGAAGGCAGAGAUCCUCCUGCCUCUGUCUCCAAGUGCUGGGAUCAAAGGCGUGCGCCACCACCGCUGGGUAUUCUAUUAGAGAAUAGCAUCUUUCAGUUUCCUGAAGUUUUGUUUUGUUUGCUUGUUGGUGUUUGUCCUUCAGCAAGGUUUUUAAGGUUUUAUGAUACUGACAUUACAGAACUUUUGUUAAAUUUGUUUCUGGACACAUAUCUGUUUCAUUGUCAAUGUAAAUAUGUUUUCAACUUCCACUGUAUUUUAUGUUUAAUGUUUGCAUAUUUUGUGUGUGGAUUCUAUACCUAAUGAAUAUUUUCUUGAGAUGACAUUUCCUGUAACUCUAGUUGACCUCGAAUUCACUAUGCAGCUGAUGACCGUGAACUUCUGAUCCUACUUCCUUGACCGUCUAAGAGCUGGGGUUACAGCACACAUGACUGUGUCCCAUUUACUCACUGCUGGGGAUGGAACCCAGGGCUUUGUGCGUGUUAUGCAAGCUCUCUGCCAACUGAUCUACAGCCUCAGUCCUGAGGGACUCUCAGAGACUUCUCCUUUCUCACCCAGAAGCUAGUUCUCGAAAAGCAACGGUCAGUGUACUGGCAAACAGCUGUGCUUCUAGAGGUCUGACACUCAGCACAUCCCUUACCUCCGUCCUUCAGAAGC